GAGCCAAUGUUAUGGCGCUGUAUGAGGAGACAAAAAGUCCCCUAAGCAUUGCGCCUAAGUUGUUUACCAGUUAAUAUUAUUGGAUUAUGUAACUGACAAUGAAGCAAUAUCAUGUAUUGACUGGUAAUUGUUUGAAUACACCAUGCGAUCACACCAUGUACGCUGCUUUAAGAAAAGCAUAAAAAUGCCUUUGUAUUAAGUUGUGUGUGCAGCUCGUCCGAGGAAUACGAAAGUGCUCAACUUCUGUGUUUCCGGAUGAUCUGUACCCGGCCGAUUGAAGAAAUAAAGAGUAAAGUCUUAAACAGCCAGACCGACUGCGAGUGUUCAUCGACUGAGCACGGAAUCGAGAGACCCCACCGGGGGUCGAGAUUUACGUCGUCUCCGCGCUGGGUAACAUAUCUGGUGACAUUACUCGCAGAGCGAUGAAACAUCUGUACGAUAACCAGCUAGCUCGGCGAGCAAGUCAACAGCCUCACUCACGAGCCAUACUCCACGCCACCCUAUUUCUUGCCCAGUUAAAGGUGGGGCCCUAAGGAGUGUUGUCAAGUUGAAAGAUUUGGGAGUGCAGGUUCAUAGUUCAUAGAAUCCCUACAGCGUAGAAACAGGCCCUUCUGCCCAACAAGCCCACGCUGAACCGCAGAGCAUCCCACCCAGACUCAUCCCCUUAUAACCCACCCAACCUAUGGGCAAUUUAGCAUGGCCGAUCCAACUAACCUGCACACCUUUGGACUGCGGGAGGAAACCGGAGGAAACCCACGCAGACACGGGGAGAAUGUGCAAACUCCACACAGACAGUUGCCCGAGGCUGGGAAUCGAACCCGGGUCCCUGGCGCUGUGAGGCUGCAGUGCUAACCACUGAGCCACUACGUGUUGUGGAGAAUCACCAGGAGACGUAGAGAAUUCUUCAAGAAGAUGCUGCCAGACCUGCCGAGCUUUCCCACUGAGUUCCAUUUUUGUUCCUGAUUUCCACGUCGACAGUCAUUUUGGUUUUUCUGAAGGAGGUAUGGUGUGGCGCAGCGCUGGCCUGGCAGGGUAAGGACAAGUCGCUUCAGAAGCUGCCACGAAGCGUGAGAAUACCAGACUCCCGUAUGACAAGGAUGGUGUUGAUUCAAUUAGAGCCCGGCUACCAUCUCAACAUAAAACAAAGCAUGGUUAAUAAAGCUGACCUUUUUAUUACCAUCUGUAAAUGGUAAGAGAAGACCACCUAUAUUAGAUCUUUAGCUUUCACCAGUUGUACAUUCUCUGUAUUCAGGUGGAGUACAUUAAGCAGGGAUUUCGUUGAGUCCCUACCAAUAGACCAGCCUGAAAAUGUGAUGAUUGGAGUUUAGAGAUCUACAUUUGUAAUGCAUAAAUCUGUAAGUAAAUGCAGGGGUAUGUGAA